UCUUAUGUCUGGCACUCCAUUAUGAUAACGACACUAAACAUGGAUUCUUUUUGUCAUCUCAAGGACUCAAGCAGGGUGAUCCUCUAUCCCCCUCCUUAUUCAUUCUAGUAGCUGAAGUUCUCUCCAGAUCUCUCAACAAACUCAAUGACAAUGAGAAUUUCAUUUCUUUUUUUAGGAAUAGGAGAGGUCCUUAGAUAAACCAUAUAGCUUAUGCUGACGACAUUUUUAUUUUCAGUAGUGGUAAGUCCAGAUCUGUUAAAUUAAUUAUGAAAUAGAUUAGGAGAUAUGAGAGGGCUUCUGGGAAAAAAGUCAACGAUGAUAAAAGCUUCUUUCUAACCACUACCAAGACAAGUCCUUCUAGAAUUAAUAGACUGUGGGAUUGUACAGGUUCCAUGAAUAAAUCAUUUCCUUUCACCUACCUUGGUUGCCCCAUCUAUGAAGGAAGAAAGCUGAUUUGCUAUUUCGACAAUAUGGUCACCAAAGUAGUAAAAAGGUUGAAUGGUUGGCAAUGAAAAAUUCUCUCUUAUGGAGGAAAAGUUGUGCUUAUAAAGAGUGUCCUGCAAUCUCUCCCCAAAUAUACCCUCACUGCCCUUAACCCCCCCAAAGGUACCUUGAACUUAAUAGAAAAAUAUAUUGCUAGAUUCUUUUGGGGAUCAACUUCUGAGAAAAGAAUGUAUCACUGGUGCGCCUGGGAUAAUUUGUGCUUCUCGAAAGAAGAAGGGGGAAUAGGUGUGAAAAGUCUUGAAGAUAUCUCUAACACCUUUGCUCUUAGAAGAUGGUGGAGAUUAAGGGCAUGUAACUCACUUUAGGCUAAUUUUGUUAAAGCUAAGUAUUGCUCAAGAGUGCAUGUUGUAGAAAAAAAGUGAAGCAAAGGCAAUUCACAAAUUUGGAAGAAUCUGAUAUGGGCUAGAGAUAAAUCAGAAGACAACAUCCAGUGGAUUAUCAACUCCGAAAACUCUAACUUCUGGCUUGAUCAAUGGUGUGAUUUGGGUUUUCUCACUCAGAUUCCUUCUAUUAAUAUAAAGGGCAACGAAUCCAAGAUAUUGGUGAUGGAUUUCAUUAGCAACGAAACUUGGAAUAUUAAAACACUUAAAACCAUUCUCCCUGAUCCAAUCAUUCAACACAUCAUCAACAUCGAGAUAGGUGCUCAUGAACAAGAAGGCUAUGCAAUCUGGAAUAUGACUGGAGAUGGGUUGUAUGACAACAAAUCUGCUUGGACCAAUAUUAGACUAUCAAGGAGCAAGGAUGGUUCUAUGAAUAACUUGUGGCAUAAGGCCGUGCCUUUCAAAAUUUCCUUCUUAACUUGGAGACUCUGUCGUGGCAUAUUACAGUUUAAUGAAGCCAUGACUAGGUUUGGAAAUAAUAUUAAUACUAAUUCAGAUUGUUUGUGUUGCAGAACACCAUCUCAUGAUUCAAUGCAACACACUUUUAUUGAAGGAGAAGCAACCAACCACAUCUGGAAGUGCAUAAGAGCCCCCUCGGAAUCAGACAUCAAAUUUUAUUAGUAAGGAGGACUAUACAACAAUGGAAUGGACAACUUGCAAGUAUGGAAACCAAAGGAAAAUGUAUCACAACAAGAUGAAAUACCACUCCAUAUGGAAUAUUCAAGCUGUUGUACAGAAAAUGUGUCCAACAAUCUUGUCUUUAAGACACAUGGCAUAAUAUAUGUGAUACAGUUGAAAGGUUGAAGUCUAGAGUGAACAUAAACCAUGUCACCUAGAUUAAACCAGAAACUGGUGAGUACAAAAUCAAUGUGGACGGAAGCUACAUCAGGGAAACUGGUAAGGCGAGAAUAGGAGGAAUUAUCAGAGAUAUAGUAAUGGUGACUUUGUCAUGGCCUUCUCCUGGGCUGUUCAAUGCAACAGUAAUACCUAUGCAGAAGCUCUAGCAGCCAGGUGUGGAGUUCAACUGUGCAUCGAUAACCAGAUGGAGAGCUUUAAUGUAGAGCUUGACUCCUCGGUGAUACCAAAAAUGUUAAUCAACAAAGAAAUGACCAAUAUGAAGCUAAAGAAGCUGAUUUUGGAAAUUACAGAUCUGUGCAAAAAUGCUACUGUGAAAAUAUUCCAUUGCUAUAGAGAAGACAAUCAAGUUCCAAAUCUUUUGGCUAAAUUAGCAUCGUCUAGUGGAGACAAAACCUUCUAUACAUCUCAUCAACAACUACCAAGAGAGGAUAAAGGUUUGAUUCAACUAGAUAAAUGGCAACUCCCCUCUUUCAGGAGGAGAUAUGACAAAGAGUAACUUCUUUGUCAGUGAAAUUAUCUUUCUCUGUAUGUUAGGGUGUAUUGGCUAACUCCUUACUGUAAUAAUUCUAGUUAUGUUAGAGGUUAGGUCCAUGUCCCCCUCUGAGCUUGUACGUUUUUGCAGCAAUAGAAAUGUUAGGGGUCUAGCCAAACCCCCACACUAAUGGCUCACAACCAUUUGUGAUGGCUUAUUCCAAAAAAAAAAAAAGACUACAAUUUAACUAAUGAAUAAAGGUCACGUCUCCAAUAAAUUUAGUGGAUAUUACAUGUAAAAUUUAGUGAGAUAUUGAUUAUUUUC